rnacentral:rRNA from 1 species
CGUGCUUAACACAUGCAAGUCGAACGGAGCACCCUUGAUUGAGGUUUCGGCCAAAUGAUAGGAAUGCUUAGUGGCGGACUGGUGAGUAACGCGUGAGGAACCUGCCUUUCAGAGGGGGACAACAGUUGGAAACGACUGCUAAUACCGCAUGACGCAUUUUGAUCGCAUGGUCGAAAUGCCAAAGAUUUAUCGCUGAAAGAUGGCCUCGCGUCUGAUUAGCUAGUUGGUGAGGUAACGGCCCACCAAGGCGACGAUCAGUAGCCGGACUGAGAGGUUGACCGGCCACAUUGGGACUGAGACACGGCCCAGACUCCUACGGGAGGCAGCAGUGGGGAAUAUUGCACAAUGGAGGAAACUCUGAUGCAGCGACGCCGCGUGAGCGAAGAAGUAUUUCGGUAUGUAAAGCUCUGUCAGCAGGGAAGAUAAUGACGGUACCUGACCAAGAAGCCCCGGCUAACUACGUG